AACUGGAGAAGGGUCAUAUUUGUAGCUGGCUUUCCUGUCCUCACCCGGCUUCUUCAUGCGUAAGAACCAAGCGCACCAGUUCAGCAGUAUCACCCGCACCUUAGGAGAGCAGGGAAGAUGAGGUUUUCCGGUUGUAUCGGGGGUCCUAAGCGCCAACUUAUACGAAGAUGGUACCCCCACCCUGAGACUUUUGGCUAACAUCAUAAGACGCCCUGAUCGACCUGACUCCAUCCUCCCCUUUCCCUCAAUCCCCUUCCCAUCCGUCCCUAACAUUCAAUUUAAUAAAUAAUCCUCAAACAUU